CAGGCCUAACACAUGCAAGUCGAGGGGCAGCGCGGAGGUAGCAAUACUUCUGGCGGCGACCGGCGCACUGGUGAGUAACACGUAUGCGACCUGCCCCGGACAGGGGGAUAAACCCGGGAAACUGGGCCUAAUACCCCAUAUGUAUCGAGGAUGCAUGUCCUUGAUAUGAAAGAUCCGUCGGUCCGGGAUGGGCAUGCGGCGCAUUAGCUUGUUGGCGGGGCAACGGCCCACCAAGGCGACGAUGCGUAGGGGUUCUGAGAGGAAGGUCCCCCACAUUGGAACUGAGACACGGUCCAAACUCCUACGGGAGGCAGCAGUGAGGAAUAUUGGUCAAUGGACGGAAGUCUGAACCAGCCAAGUAGCGUGCAGGAUGACGGCCCUAUGGGUUGUAAACUGCUUUUAUACAGGGAUAAAGUGAGGGACGUGUCCCUUUUUGUAGGUACUGUAUGAAUAAGGACCGGCUAAUUCCGUGCCAGCAGCCGCGGUAAUACGGAAGGUCCGGGCGUUAUCCGGAUUUAUUGGGUUUAAAGGGAGCGCAGGCUGAUGAUUAAGCGUGACGUGAAAUGUAGCCGCUCAACGGCUGAACUGCGUCGCAAACUGGUUAUCUUGAGUGAGUUCGAUGUUGGCGGAAUUCGUGGUGUAGCGGUGAAAUGCUUAGAUAUCACGAAGAACUCCGAUUGCGAAGGCAGCCAACAAGGCCUUUACUGACGCUAAAGCUCGAAGGUGCGGGUAUCGAACAGGAUUAGAUACCCUGGUAGUCCGCACGGUAAACGAUGGAKBGCCCBBUGUUBGVGAUAUACUGUGAGCGGCCAAGAGAAAUCGUBAASCAUCCVDCCUGGGGAGUACGCCGGCAACGGUGAAACUCAAAGGAAUUGACGGGGGCCCGCACAAGCGGAGGAACAUGUGGUUUAAUUCGAUGAUACGCGAGGAACCUUACCCGGGCUUGAACUGCAGGAGAACGAUACAGAGAUGUUGAGGCCCUUCGGGGCUCCUGUGGAGGUGCUGCAUGGUUGUCGUCAGCUCGUGCCGUGAGGUGUCGGCUUAAGUGCCAUAACGAGCGCAACCCUUUUCAUUAGUUGCCAUCAGGUAAUGCUGGGCACUCUGGUGAUACUGCCACCGUAAGGUGUGAGGAAGGUGGGGAUGACGUCAAAUCAGCACGGCCCUUACGUCCGGGGCUACACACGUGUUACAAUGGGGGGUACAGAAGGCGGGAUCAAUGCAAAUUGGUUCAAAUCUUAAAAGCCCUCCUCAGUUCGGAUUGGGGUCUGCAACCCGACCCCAUGAAGCUGGAUUCGCUAGUAAUCGCGCAUCAGCCAUGGCGCGGUGAAUACGUUCCCGG
rnacentral:rRNA from 1 species